UUUGUGAUGAUAUAUUAUUUAAAGAGUAAUAUUUUCUGAAAUUUUUUUCAAAUAUUUUACCUAUAUUUGCGUCUACUAAAAGCAUGGAUCCAAAAUCCCAUCUACCGGCAUCAAUAAAUAACCCAUGUAUUAAAACUCCAUCUUCAGCCUUUUUGUGCUCUAUUUCAAUAUCUUCUUGAUCAAGAACAACUUUGGUAGCAAUAAAAUCCAACUUUAGGUGGUCUAUAGGAAUGUUAUACUUUCUAGCACAUGUUUGUAACAUGCCAGUUAAAAAUCCUUGCGGAAAGGAUAAACCCGAAAUCCAAAAAGAAAUUGGCUUUAUAUCAAUCAACCAAAUCUGUAAUGUAUAAUACUUACUAAACUAGUUAUUUUUUAUA